rnacentral:rRNA from 1 species
UACAGAGGGUGCGAGCGUUAAUCGGAAUUACUGGGCGUAAAGCGUGCGUAGACGGUUAUCUAAGUCGGAUGUGAAAGCCCCGGGCUCAACCUGGGAAUGGCGCCUGGGACGGCGGGACUAGAGAUCGGGAGAGGAGCGUGGAAUUCCCAGUGUAGAGGUGAAAUUCGUAGAUAUUGGGAAGAACACCGGUGGCGAAGGCGGCGAGCUGGUCCAUUACUGACGCUGAGGCGCGACAGCGUGGGGAGCAAACAGG